ACGUUAACGAACGAGACCUUAACCUGCUAAAUAGUUACACGAUUCUCGAAUUGUGGACAACUUCUUAGAGGGACUAUCGGUGUUUAACCGAUGGAAGUUUGAGGCAAUAACAGGUCUGUGAUGCCCUUAGAUGUUCUGGGCCGCACGCGCGCUACACUGACGAAGGCAACGAGUUUAUAACCUGCCUCGAGAGAGAUGGGUAAUCUUCUGAAACUUCGUCGUGAUGGGGAUAGAUCUUUGUAAUUAUCGAUCUUCAACGAGGAAUUCCUAGUAAGCGCGACUCAUCAGGUCGCGUUGAUUACGUCCCUGCCCUUUGUACACACCGCCCGUCGCUAAUACCGAUUGAAUGGAUGC
rnacentral:rRNA from 1 species